rnacentral:rRNA from 1 species
UACGGAGGGUGCAAGCGUUAUCCGGAUUCACUGGGUUUAAAGGGUGCGUAGGCGGGCAGGUAAGUCAGUGGUGAAAUCUCCGGGCUUAACCCGGAACUGCCGUUGAUACUAUCUGUCUUGAAUAUCGUGGAGGUAAGCGGAAUAUGUCAUGUAGCGGUGAAAUGCUUAGAUAUGGACAUAGAACACCCAUUGCGAAGGCAGCUUACUACACGAUCAUUGACGCUGAGGCACGAAAGCGUGGGGAGCAAACAGG